GGAGGGGGGAGGCAGCCCACCUGGACAUGUGUUCCCUUUGGGGCCGGUGCGCUUUCUCCAGCCCCAGCUUGGUGAAGAUGCCUACGAGCACCAUGACGGCCACCACCCCGCAGAUGAUGUAAACGAUCAGGUGCACCGGACCACCUCGCCCUUCCCCCGACUGCGCCCUCCAGCCAGGCGCGCCUCCCGGAUGGUUCAACUCCCUAGGAGGAGCCGAGGACCAAGGCUGAGCUGAGAAGGCGGGGUGGCAAGCAACUGGGCCCGGGACGAGCCAAGAAUGACCCUGUUCCAGCAAAAACACCAGGCCAACACUGAUGGAACAUAUCCAGGAGUAUACCAGCCCUAGAAGAUUCAUUGAAUUGCGGGCUGUAUUUUGUCCCAAACCCACCUGGACAAGGUAUGAAAUUGUUUAGUC